UAAAAGUAACGUCAUACAGGAACGGAUCCGGACCGCGUGGCACGCGGGGAUCUGUGUAUUGUGUUCGUCUGCCCCAGAAAGGGAAGAAAGACAAAAGGGACAAGGAGGAGAUAAAUAAUUUGUAGGGAGUCAAGAAUGCGCCCCUGGGAAACACGCCCAGAGCAAGUACCGGGGGGCUCUCCCGCGAUUCGGCCCAUAUAACCGAGAGGUUGGUGGGGCCAUGGGUGGUUGGAGG